AGCCGCGGUAAUUCCAGCUCCAAUAGCGUAUAUUAAAGUUGUUGCAGUUAAAAAGCUCGUAGUUGAAUUUCGGGAUUGACACAUCGGUCGUGCCUUAAGGGGUAUGAACUGGUGUAGUCAAUUUCUCACCUUCUGGAGAACCGCGAUGCCCUUAAUUGGGUGUCGCGGGGAACCAGGACCUUUACUUUGAAAAAAUUAGAGUGUUUAAAGCAGGCAUUUUGCUUGAAUACAUUAGCAUGGAAUAAUAAAAUAGGACGGCAUGAUUCUAUUUUGUUGGUUUCUAGGAUCACCGUAAUGAUUAAUAGGGAUAGUUGGGGGCAUUAGUAUUCAAUUGUCAGAGGUGAAAUUCUUGGAUUUAUUGAAGACUAACUACUGCGAAAGCAUUUGCCAAGGAUGUUUUCAUUAAUCAAGAACGAAAGUUAGGGGAUCGAAGACGAUCAGAUACCGUCGUAGUCUUAACCAUAAACUAUGCCGACUAGGAAUCAGACGAUGUUAAUUUUUUAAUGACUCGUUUGGCACCUUACG
rnacentral:misc_RNA from 1 species